rnacentral:rRNA from 1 species
UACGGAGGAUGCAAGCGUUAUCCGGAAUGAUUGGGCGUAAAGCGUCCGCAGGUGGCUAUGUAAGUCUGCUGUUAAAGAGUGAGGCUCAACCUCAUAAGAGCAGUGGAAACUACAUAGCUAGAGUGCGUUCGGGGCAGAGGGAAUUCCUGGUGUACGGUGAAAUGCGUAGAUAUCAGGAAGAACACCGGUGGCGAAAAGCGCUCUGCUAGGCCGCAACUGACACUGAGGGGACGAAAGCUAGGGGGAGCGAAUGGG